GCAUUUGUAGUCCAACGGUUAGGAUAAUUGCCUUCCAAGCAAUAGACCCGGUUUCGACUCCCGGCAGAAAGCU
rfam:Hordeum vulgare subsp. vulgare, WGS project CAJW01000000 data, contig: morex_contig_1560684